UACGUAGGGAGCAAGCGUUGUCCGGAAUCAUUGGGCGUAAAGCGCGCGUAGGUGGCCUCGUAAGUCCGCUGUGAAAGUCAAAGGCUCAACCUUUGAAAGCCGGUGGAUACUGUGAGGCUAGAGUACGGAAGAGGCGAGUGGAAUUCCCGGUGUAGCGGUGAAAUGCGCAGAUAUCGGGAAGAACACCCGUGGCGAAGGCGGCUCUCUGGGACGGUACUGACGCUGAGACGCGAAAGCGUGGGGAGCAAACAGG
rnacentral:rRNA from 1 species